UACGGGGGGGGCAAGCGUUGUUCGGAAUUACUGGGCGUAAAGGGCUCGUAGGCGGCCAACUAAGUCGGAUGUGAAAUCCCCAGGCUUAACCUGGGAACUGCAUCCGAUACUGGAUGGCUUGAAUCCGGGAGAGGGAUGCAGAAUUCCAGGUGUAGCGGUGAAAUGCGCAGAUAUCAGGAAGAACACCCGUGGCUAAGGCGGUUCUCUAGUACGGUACUGACGCUGAGACGCGAAAGCGUGGGGAGCGAACAGG
rnacentral:rRNA from 1 species